rnacentral:rRNA from 1 species
AGUGAACGCUGGCGGUAGGCCUAACACAUGCAAGUCGAACGGCAGCACAGUAAGAGCUUGCUCUUACGGGUGGCGAGUGGCGGACGGGUGAGGAAUACAUCGGAAUCUACUUUUUCGUGGGGGAUAACGUAGGGAAACUUACGCUAAUACCGCAUACGACCUACGGGUGAAAGCAGGGGAUCUUCGGACCUUGCGCGAUUGAAUGAGCCGAUGUCGGAUUAGCUAGUUGGCGGGGUAAAGGCCCACCAAGGCGACGAUCCGUAACUGGUCUGAGAGGAUGAUCAGCCACACUGGAACUGAGACACGGUCCAGACUCCUACGGGAGGCAGCAGUGGGGAAUAUUGGACAAUGGGCGCAAGCCUGAUCCAGCCCUACCGCGUGGGUGAAGAAGGCCUUCGGGUUGUAAAGCCCUUUUGUUGGGAAAGAAAAGCAGCAGGUUAAUACCCCGCUGUUCUGACGGUACCCAAAGAAUAAGCACCGGCUAACUUCGUG